CGAGGCGAACCGGGGGAACUGAAACAUCUAAGUACCCCGAGGAAAAGAAAUCAACCGAGAUUCCCCCAGUAGCGGCGAGCGAACGGGGAGCAGCCCAGGACCUGAAUCAGCUUGUGCAUCAGUGGAAGCGUCUGGAAAGUCGCGCGAUACCGGGUGACAGCCCCGUACACGAAGAUGCGCAGGUUGUGAGUCCGACGAGUAGGGCGGGACACGUGGUAUCCUGUCUGAACAUGGGGGGACCAUCCUCCAAGGCUAAAUACCCCUGACUGACCGAUAGUGAACCAGUACCGUGAGGGAAAGGCGAAAAGAACCCCGGCGAGGGGAGUGAAACAGAACCUGAAACCGUGUACGUACAAGCAGUGGGAGCCUACUUGUUAGUGUGACUGCGUACCUUUUGUAUAAUGGGUCAGCGACUUAUAUUCUGUAGCAAGGUUAACCGCAUAGGGGAGCCGAAGGGAAACCGAGUCUUAAUUGGGCGUUAAGUUGCAGGGUAUAGACCCGAAACCCGGUGAUCUAGCCAUGGGCAGGUUGAAG
rnacentral:rRNA from 1 species